GAUCAAGUGUCUUAAGGGCAAUUGGUGGAUGCCUUGGCAUGCACAGGCGAUGAAGGACGUGAUACGCUGCGAUAAGCUACGGGGAGGUGCGAAUACCCUUUGAUCCGUAGAUUUCCGAAUGGGGAAACCCACCUAAGGUGCUUGGAAAAUCAGAGUAGCAGGGCAACCUGCUGCUGUGGUUUCCAAGUAUCGAUAAUAGGUAACUUACCCUGAAUAAAAUAGGGGUAAAGUGGCGAACGCGGGGAACUGAAACAUCUAAGUACCCGUAGGAAAGGACAUCAACCGAGACUCCGGCAGUAGUGGCGAGCGAACCCGGACCAGGCCAGUGGCGAUGAUGAGACAAGCGGAACCUUCUGGAAAGUAGGGCCAUAGUGGGUGACAGCCCCGUACGCGUAAUGCAAAUCAUCGUCCUCGAGUAAGGCGGGACACGUGAAAUCCUGUCUGAAAUUGGGGGGACCACCCUCCAAGCCUAAGUACUCGUGCAUGACCGAUAGCGAACUAGUACCGUGAGGGAAAGGUGAAAAGCACCCCGACAAGGGGAGUGAAAGAGUGCCUGAAACCGAUUGCCUACAAACAGUGGGAGUCCAAGGUUCGUCCUGGGUGACCACGUACCUUUUGUAUAAUGGGUCAGCGACUUAGUGUGACGAGCAAGCUUAAACCGCUAGGUGUAGGCGCAGCGAAAGCGAGUCUGAACAGGGCGUUCAGUUCGUCGCAUUAGACCCGAAACCGAGUGAUCUAGCCAUGAGCAGGUUGAAGGUAAGGUAACACUUACUGGAGGACCGAACCCAUAACUGUUGCAAUAGUUCGGGAUGACUUGUGGCUAGGGGUGAAAGGCCAAUCAAACUCGGAAAUAGCUGGUUCUCCGCGAAAUCUAUUUAGGUAGAGCGUCGACCGAAUACCCCAGGGGGUAGAGCACUGGAUGGGCUAGGGGUCCUCACCGGAUUACCAAACCUAACCAAACUCCGAAUACCUGGGAGUACUAGUCGGCAGACACACGGCGGGUGCUAACGUCCGUCGUGAAAAGGGAAACAACCCUGACCUACAGCUAAGGUCCCCAAGUUAUGGCUAAGUGGGAAAGGAUGUGAGGAUCCCAAAACAACCAGGAUGUUGGCUUAGAAGCAGCCAUCAUUUAAAGAAAGCGUAACAGCUCACUGGUCUAAAUAAGGGUCUUUGCGCCGAAAAUGUAACGGGGCUCAAGCCAUACACCGAAGCUUAGGGUUUGCAGCAAUGCAAGCGGUAGCGGAGCGUUCUGUAAGCUGAUGAAGCCAUACCCGUGAGGGGUGGUGGAGGUAUCAGAAGUGCGAAUGCUGACAUGAGUAACGUAAGGGGAGUGAGAGACUCCCCCGCCGAAAGUCCAAGGGUUCCUGCUUAAAGCUAAUCUGAGCAGGGUUAGCCGGCCCCUAAGUCGAGGCAGAAAUGCGUAGACGAUGGGAACCACGUUAAUAUUCGUGGGCCUGGAGGAAGUGACGGAUCAUUGAGGUAGUCCAAUCUUAUCGGAUUGAAAGGGCUGCUGCGUGGUUCCAGGAAAUAGCUCCUCCUUAUAGACCGUACCCGAAACCGACACUGGUGGACUGGUAGAGUAUACCAAGGCGCUUGAGAGAACUAUGCUGAAGGAACUCGGCAAAUUGCACGCGUAACUUCGGAAGAAGCGUGACCCUUUUCCACGCAAGUGGAGGAGGGUGGCACAGACCAGGGGGUAGCGACUGUUUAUCAAAAACACAGGGCUCUGCGAAGUCGCAAGACGACGUAUAGGGUCUGACGCCUGCCCGGUGCUGGAAGGUUAAGAGGAGGGGUGCAAGCUCUGAAUCGAAGCCCCAGUAAACGGCGGCCGUAACUAUAACGGUCCUAAGGUAGCGAAAUUCCUUGUCGGGUAAGUUCCGACCUGCACGAAUGGCGUAACGACUUCCCCGCUGUCUCCAGCAUAGACUCAGUGAAAUUGAAUUCCCCGUGAAGAUGCGGGGUUCCUGCGGUUAGACGGAAAGACCCCGUGCACCUUUACUAUAGCUUUACAUUGGCAUUCGUAGUGGCAUGUGUAGGAUAGGUGGUAGGCUUUGAAACCUGGGCGCCAGCUCAGGUGGAGCCACCCUUGAAAUACCACCCUUAUCACUAUGGAUGUCUAACCGCGGCCCGUUAUCCGGGUCCGGGACAAUGUAUGGUGGGUAGUUUGACUGGGGCGGUCGCCUCCUAAAGAGUAACGGAGGCGCGCGAUGGUGGGCUCAGAACGGUCGGAAAUCGUUCGCUGAGUGCAAUGGCAUAAGCCUGCCUGACUGCGAGACUGACAAGUCGAGCAGAGACGAAAGUCGGUCAUAGUGAUCCGGUGGUCCCGCGUGGAAGGGCCAUCGCUCAACGGAUAAAAGGUACGCCGGGGAUAACAGGCUGAUGACCCCCAAGAGUCCAUAUCGACGGGGUUGUUUGGCACCUCGAUGUCGACUCAUCGCAUCCUGGGGCUGGAGCAGGUCCCAAGGGUAUGGCUGUUCGCCAUUUAAAGCGGUACGUGAGUUGGGUUCAGAACGUCGUGAGACAGUUCGGUCCCUAUCUGCCGUGGGUGUAGGAAUAUUGAAAGGAUCUGUCCCUAGUACGAGAGGACCGGGAUGGACGGAUCUCUGGUGGACCUGUUGUGGCGCCAGCCGCAUAGCAGGGUAGCUAUAUCCGGACGGGAUAACCGCUGAAGGCAUCUAAGCGGGAAACCCACCUUAAAACGAGUAUUCCCUGAGAACCGUGGAAGACGACCACGUUGAUAGGCCGGGUGUGGAAGAGCGGCAACGCUUGAAGCUUACCGGUACUAAUAGUUCGAUCGGCUUGAUCGUUCUCAUU
rnacentral:rRNA from 1 species